AUGCCUCUCCUUAUUCCAGUUCCGAUCAGAUUCAUCAUCUUUACACUUCCAUUUGAUCCUCGAAUGAUCAUGCCUCAGUCACUCUCACAAAGCCAAAAGAAAGAAAGAACAAAUGCGAAGAAGAUGAUAGCGAAGGACCUUACCGAACGGAGAACGUCCGGAGGCUCUCUGACGCUAUUCGAGAAAACCAGGGAUAAAUCAGGUCAGGAUCAUGGGUUGGUUUAUGAUAACAGUUUCAGCAGGGUUUUGGCAAGUGUAAUUGGCCUGGUCUAG